CCAAGGUAAGGCAUCUUAUUUUUGAAGAAAAUAAAAUGCCAACUAAUUACUAAUUAGCAAAUGCCAAUUGAGUAUUUGCAUUCAGAAUAUGGCCUUAAGAGUUGGGAUUGAAGGCACCAUGUUCAAGUAAAAUAUUUAUCCAAAGUAAUUUUUUUUGGUCCAAAAUUUAUCUUUAAUAUUAGAAAGUCAAAAGGAGAGUUUGGUGUCUCAAGACUUCACCAAAAAAAAUUGGACUAUAAAGCCCCUCAAACAAAAAAAAUCCACAACCAGCUGAAAAUAAUAAAAACAAAAUAACAGAGAUAAUUUUGUGAUAAAAAAAAUUAAAUUAACAAAAUAGUAGAAGCAGUUUUCUUCCCACUAUCUUGCGAGAAGAACCCGUGUAAUGGAAGGAAAAGAAAGCGUCGUCGUCCUGCACAUUUGAAAAUCAGAUGACAGUUUUACAUUCAUUCAUUCUUACUUUGCUGUUCAGGUCACAGAAGCUCAAAGAAUUGAGAAAGGUCGACUAUCACACUAAUUGAAUUGAGAAGGUCGACUAUCACAUUAAUUGCUUACUCUGUCGCACAGUGGGUGUUUGGUUAAAUGUAUUGAUUCGUGAAAAGGAUUGGGACUACAAAGUCGAAGCUCUGAAAAAUUCAGUGGAUCACAAAAAGAGAGCAGCAGAGUAAUUGAUCAUGGUCUUUUUCUUUUUCUACAUGGUUGCACUGCUCGAAAAUUUUCUCAUUUGUUGCUUGGACUUUUGAUCAGCAUCUAUUUUUUAUGCAUAUUUUGUAAUGGGUAGUUGGUGGAGGGACGUCGGUGGAGAGUUCAUUUACAUGGUUGCACCGCUCGAAAAUUUUCUUAUUUGUUGCUUGGACUUUCUGAUCAGCAUCCUUUAGUUUUGCUUAAGUUUGGUUUACUUAACGAUUACUUGCUUAUCACUUCAGGCACUUCUCACACAGGAGUGGUCUUCUGUCCUUUUGAUCUGUAGUCGAAAGAAUACCAUGAUUCGUUACUGAUGUUGUUCGUUUGUGUUUUCAUCAAUUCGACUAUCUGUCGAGCACUUAUGGUAUUCCUAGCUUGGCUAUUCCUCAGUUCUCUGUCAAAUCAGAAUCAUAGUUUUAAUUUCAAUUCUAUUUCGGUUAGUGCAGGUUUGGGAUGAUCGUUUUUGGAUUUCUUUAUGUUUGUUUGUCCGCCUAUAGGUAAUCUACCUCUGUCUCUUCACUUAUUUCUAAUGCUAUUCUAUUGCACAGGCACCUUUGAAGCAUGAACACCAAGAGAUGUGGUUUGAUUAUGUUAAAUCGUCGUUUUGAAGCCAUAAACGAAUGUGUUGCAGGAAGAAUUCUUUGGCACGAGGAAUUAGAAAGAAUAUAAAACGUGGUGAGAAAAUUGUUGCAGCAAAAGGAAGAAAUCAAGAUCCAAAUUCGAUCAAAGUCGAAUGUUUGAGUGAGUUGGUUCAAUCAGCAUGUACAGGUUUGGGAGUUUGUAUUCCUAACAAUUUUGCAAAUUUAUCUUCUAUUUUAUAGGUUCUAAGAAUGUUGGAAGAUAAAAGUGGAAUCAUUUUAUUCUCAUUGGUAGUUUCUUGACUUGCUUACUAAUUUGUAUGGUACAUUAUUUUCAUUGGAGUAUGCAUGAUUCCUCUGUCUCUUCACUUAUUUCA